rnacentral:lncRNA from 1 species
GCAACGUCAAUUCUUGCCUCCUAAGAAGGAAGAAUUCGACUGAGGGGCACAAAGCAGAAAGGGCGACUGAGUCAAGUUCCAGAGCAGGAAUGAAAGUUUAUUUUAAAAUGCCUUAGAACAGGAACGAAAUGAAGGUGUGCAUGGAAAAGACCCACGCAGGCACAUGAAGGUUAAAGAGAGAAGAGAUGGAUCUCAAAAAAGAAAUCAAAACUGGCUCAGAUUUCCCAAGGAUUUCCAUAUCUAUAUACUAGAAGAUAAUUCAGACUUAUGCAUCUGAGAAGGAAUUAGAAGAAACUAUUCUAAAAUGUAUAUGGAACCAAAAAAAGCCCAAAUGGCCAAGGCAUUCUUAAGUAAAAAGAAUAAAUUCAGAAGAAUCACGUUACCUAAUUUCAAACCAUACUACAAUGCUAUGAUAACUAAAGCAGCAUGAUACUGGUACAAAAAUAGAUGCAUAGAUGUAUGGAAUAGAAUAGAAAAUGCUGAAAUGAAGCCACACACCUACAACCAACUGAUCUUUGACAAAACUGACAAAAAUAUACAGUGGGGAAAAGACACUUUAUUCAACAAAUGGUGUUGGGAAAACUGGCUAACCAUACGCAGAAGAAUGAAACUGGACCCCUACCUGUAACCAGAUACAAAAAUUAACUCCAGAUGGGUUAAAGGGUUAAAUGUAAGACCUCAAUAAAAAUCCUAGUAGGAAACCUAGGAAAUUCUCAUCUAAACAUUGACCUAGGCAAAUAAUUUAUGACGAAGACUCCAAAAGCAAGUGCAACUAAAUAAAAAAUAGAUAAAUGGGAUCUAAUUAAACAAAAGAGCUGAUGUACAGCAAAAGAAACUAUCAACAGAGGAAGUAGACAACCUACAGAAUAGGAGAAAAUAUUUGCCAACUAUGCAUCUGACAAAGGAUUAAUAUCCAGAAUCUACAUGGAACUUAAACAAAUGAAUAGUAUAGAAACAAAUAUGUCAAUUAAAAAGUGGGCAAAGUACAUGAAUAGACACUACUCAAAAGAAGACAUAUAAGUGACCAACAAACAUAUGAAACUAUGCUCAACAUCACUAAUCAUCAAAGAAAUAUAAAUCAAAACAACAGUGAGAUACCACCUUACUGCUGCAAAAAUGGCCAUUAUUUAAAUGUCAAAAAAAUAACAGAUGCUAGUGAGGAUUCAGAGAAAGGGGAACACUUAUACACUUCUGGUGGGAAUGCAAAUCAUUUUCACCCUUGUAAAAAGUAGUUUGGAAAUUGCUCAAAGAAUUAAAAAUAGAAUUACUAUUUGACCCAAAUGCCAUUACUGGAUAUGUACUCAAAAGAAAAUAAAUUGUUCUACCAAAAGGACUCCUGCAUUAAUAUGUUUAUUGCAGCACCAUUCACAAUAGCAAAGGCAUGGAAUCAAACUAGGUGCCCAUCAACAGUGAACUGCGUAAAGAAAAUGUGGCACAUAUGCACCAUGGAAUACUAUGCAGCCAAAAAAAAGAAUGAAAUUGCAUUCUUUGCAGCAACAUGGAAACAUGGAUGCAGCUGGAGGCCAUUAGCCUAAGUGAAUUAAGGCAGAAACAGACAACCAAAUACCACAUAUUCUCAUUUAUAAGUGGAAGCUAAACACUGGGUACACAUGGACACAAAGAUGGUAUCAAUAGGUAUGGGCCACUCCAAAAGUGGAGAGGGAAGGAUGCAGAUAAGUGUUGAAAAACUACCCACUGGUUACUCUGGUCGGUAUUUGGAUAGCGUGAUUGUUAGAAUAAUAUCCUAAUAAUACAACAAUUAUUAUCUAAUAAUAUCCUAAAAUAUAAUUAUUAUAUUAUAUAUAAUUACAUAAUAAUGUAAUAAUAAGAUGCUGAUUAUUAAAUUAUCAGCAUCACACAGCAUCACGCAUGUAACAUACAUGCACAUGUAUCUUCUGAAUCUAAUAUUAAACAUAAAUAAAUAAAAUCAAACACACACAUACAAAAAGCCAAACCCCAAAAUAAAUAAAAGCUUCAUUUUGACACUUAAAAUGUAUUAAAGCCUCAUUUAAUACUAGAUUUGAUUAAGGCCUCUCAACAUUGGCAUUAUUGAUAUGUUGGGGGCUUUCCUCAGCAUCAGUAAGAUAUUUAGCAGCAUUUCUGGUCUCCACCCACUAGAUACCCACACCAUACCCCAGGUGUGACAAUCAAAAUGUCUCCAUAUUGCCAAAUGUAUCCUGGGGGAUCAAAAUUGCUCCUGGUUGAGAAUUACUGGCCUAAAUCUUUCUUCUCUGUGUGUUGUGUUCAUUGAAAUAAACCGUGCUUCUUCUCAUUACAGAACUUCUAAACGCUCCAGCUCUUCUAUGUGACAUAAUCUCCAUAUCCCACCUCUAAAUCCUUAAUGUCAGAUUAUUGCUCAUAUCCAAGUGUAAUGGUCACUCCAUCGGUGUAGCCUACCCUAAUCCACCAAUCACAGUAUCAUAAUAACAGCCUUUCAUUUAGGGUUAAUUUGUAGCUGUAUGUUGACCACUGGGAUCAGGGAAUAAUUUCUGACUCCUCUUUCAGUCAGUAUACUUCAUAAGAUCUGGGGUAUUAUCUAUUUUACCCACUAUUACAUCCUCAGUACCUAGUAUGAAGGCUGGCCCAGGAUGGAAACUCAAUGAACGUUUAUUGAAUGAAUGAAUGAAUGAAUGAAAACUGAACAAAAAUUUACAGCCUCUGAAACCAACAACUAUUUUCUGAGUACUGAUUUUGCAUCAAGCAGGAUCCUGAGCCAGGGGACUCAGAGAAAAAUAAUACACAGUCUUUGCCCUAAGAGGCAUAGCCUUGUUGAAGAAAUUGAUUUGUAAGUAAAAAGGAAUGAUAGAGCAUCCUAAGUGGUCAGUGGAGGUCUCAACAACCUGAAGUUAACUAUAUACACAAUUCCAAUAUCUGCCUGUGAGAAUAAGAAAAGUUUUCUCAAAGAAGGUAAUUAUUGAGCUCAGAUUAAAGGUUAUAUAGAAAUUCACUAGAUAGACAAGGAUGGAGUGAGAAGACAGGUGGUAGAACUGGGUGUGAGAGGUGGGAAAUCACUCUGCACAGCAGUGCUGAAGGCGUGCCACAAUCCAGACAGCUAAGAAUCACCAUACACUUCUGUAUGAGUGAAGAGUGGGACUUAAAUUAGGCAGUAGUGGGAAAUGAGAUUAAAGAUUUCAGCAAGGACAGAGCAUGAGAACUUUGUGUGCCAGGCUCAGGAGUUUGGAGAUUGUCCUGAAGACAAUCAGUGGUCACAGAAAGGAAACGAGCAGUGGCAUAAGAGUCAGAUCUGUGAUUUCAGACUGAUAAUCUGAAUGUUGGCCAGUAGAUAAAGAAAGACAAAACUUCAGAAUGUCAUAAUGCAAGGUUUUAUUAAAAAUAAAAACCUUUGGAUGACCAUGUGUCUACCACACAAUAAUUUUUUUUUUUUUUUUUUUUUGAGACAGUCUCGCUCUGUCACCCAGGCUGAAGUGCAGUGGCAUGAUCUUGGCUCACAGCAACCUUCGCCUCUUGGGUUCAAGUGAUUCUCCUGCCUCACCUUCCUGAGUAGCUAGGAUUACAGGUGUGUGCCACCACAUCAGGCUAACUUUUGUAUUUUUAGUAAAGACAAGGUUUCACCAUGUUGGCCAGGCUGGUCUUGAACUCCUGGCCUCAAGUUAUCCGCUCACCUCAGCCUCCCAAAGUGCUGGGAUUAUAGGUGUGAGCCACUGUGCCUGGCUGCACAUAGUAAUUUCUCCUCAAAGAAAAUCCGAAGGAAAACUAAGUAUGAAGUUCAAAAAUGCAGAAAGCCUCUUCAUACUAAGAGGAAGGCCAAAGCUUACUGUGACUGGUGAGUCUUUCUAGCCUCUUCCCAAAGAACCCAUAUUUAUUGUUACUGGAAAUGUAUGUAUUAGAAGAUAUAGAGAUCAGGAGACCAGCUCCAGGUUUCAGGGACGAAGAGACAAACAGGCAUUUUUUGGACCCUGUGCCAUUCUGAAACCAGAUGAUUGAGUGUUUGUUUUCCCAUUGUCUGCAUUUAUGCCUUGUCCUCCAACACGAAUAAUUGUCAAGGUUUUGGUAGGCUGAAGUAUAUUCUAGGGAAAUUGGAUCUGCAAUUUUGCAGAAUUUCACAGUAUCUUUUGCAGUUCUGUGUAAAAUUGAUUGUUUAAAUCUAGUUUAUUUUACCUUGUUGGUCCUGGACUUACUAUCAGCUGAAAUAUUUAUAUCGCUGCCCCUUAGGAGUUAUGCAUUUCCCUUGUUCUGUAAAAACAAUAAUAAAAUAAAAGUGCUGACCUGCUCUAUGUAUAUGAGUAAUUGUUUUUAUUUUAAUUGCUUGAGUGCUUGUGGAAGGAGAUUGAAUUGUCUGGCCUCUUUUCUCUUUGACCAUUUCUUGCAUUACUUUCGUUUUUUUCCUUUUGCCACCAAAAGUAUUAUGCUGGUCACCAACCAUGUCUUUGGAGACUAUUUGAAGUUGAAAUUUUCAUGCUAAAUCUAGCCAUUUAAAAGGAGAUGUGGGAAGCAUAGACAUACACAAUCAUGCCUUGCUACCCAAUGCAGAAGUCCUCCUCACCAAGACAGGCCCCGGGACACUGGAAAAAAAAGCCUAAGCAUAUUCUUGCUGUUGUUUAAGUCUUAUUUUUGAAAGCAAGCCCCCCCUCCCCGCACACACACAAAUAGACACACAUAUUUUUUCUUACAAAUAACGUUGUCUUCCCAACACACUCCCCUUCUGACCGCAUUCAUUUAUUCAACACAAUUAAU